rnacentral:rRNA from 1 species
UACGUAGGGUGCAAGCGUUAAUCGGAAUUACUGGGCGUAAAGCGUGCGCAGGCGGUGAUGUAAGACAGGUGUGAAAUCCCCGGGCUUAACCUGGGAACUGCAUUUGUGACUGCAUCGCUGGAGUGCGGCAGAGGGGAUGGAAUUCCGGCGUGUAGCAGUGAAAUGCGUAGAUAUGCGGAGGAACACCGAUGGCGAAGGGCAGCCUCCUGGGCCAGCACUGACGCUCAGUGCACGAAAGCGU